rnacentral:rRNA from 1 species
UACAGAGGUCCCGAGCGUUGUUCGGAUUCACUGGGCGUAAAGGGUGCGUAGGUGGUGAGGUAAGUCGGAUGUGAAAGCUCCGAGCUCAACUCGGAAAUGGCAUUGGAAACUACCUUGCUAGAGGGUUUGAGGGGGGACUGGAAUACUUGGUGUAGCAGUGAAAUGCGUAGAUAUCAAGUGGAACACCAGUGGCGAAGGCGAGUCCCUGGAAAACUCCUGACACUGAGGCACGAAAGCUAGGGGAGCAAACAGG